rnacentral:lncRNA from 1 species
AGUCUCUUAGGGUUUGAAUGAAUUAUUUUAUUAUUUAAAAAAGCACAAACAUCUCUCUCCUCUCCACACCUCACCCUCUCUCCCUCUUCUUUUUUCCAUGCCCAAGGGUUGGGCAUCCAUCAUCCACACGCCUGAGUUGAGAAGGGUCUCUUCUACAUCAAGAAAUGAGGAAAAAAAGACUGCAGUUCAAAGGUUAAGGUUGCAAUCA